rnacentral:misc_RNA from 1 species
AGUUUCUCGAGCGUUUUAUCCCAACCCAACUGCAUAAUUGACUGAUGCACAUGGUUAAUAACGGACCAUCUAAAGCCUCUUGAAACAAUAGGCAAAUAGAGAGACCUGCCUUUUCUUUGUAUCCUAAGGUAAAGAGUACCGGACCGUAAUUCAUACGUAUUCGCGAUGUCUUCCGCGAGCUCAUCGUUUUGCAAGUUUUUGACGAUUUCCGAAAUUUGAGGAUUCGCUGAGCGAAGGUAUAUUGAAUCGGCUUGGGUGGUGUGGACGUAGUUUGUUACUGGACGUGGUUUGUACUGUAGUCGAUUAUUGAGGCGAACGGUCUGUUGCUUGCGCGUUCUGCCUUCACGAAAAUAUCUUUCGAUUUCGGUGGCACGUUUCUCGGCUUCAAUACAUUGUGCGGCGGAUUGCCAAGUAGAACUUGUCCUAUCUCUGUUUUUAAUCCUCGAAUAAAGUCUGUUAGCGAAUCUUUCAAAAUUCUGUCGCUCAUGGCACGUCUGGUUAUUUCGUCUGGGUAUUCGUUGGUAAUACUGUGUUGUAGUUUGUUAUACAACAUUCUGAAGCAAAUAAUGUAGCUUUGUAUGCUUUCGUUAAAUCCUUGUCUAAUAUCUCGCAAUUGGUCUUGGUUUUCACGAACCGAAG